rnacentral:lncRNA from 1 species
GAAGCUUCAUUACCCAAUAUAGGGGCACAAAUUAUAAAAAAAUCUACAUGAAAUGUACUUUCGAAACACAUCCAAAGCCCAUUUACAAUACGGGGAAUGCUAGCAACAUUCUAUCUAACCUUCUCUUUUGGACCUUCUCCCUUUUCCUAAUGACAUGUGUCAUUUUCUUUACACUUAAAAUAAUGUCAUUAAUACUUAAGACAAGCUAGCUUUUAUUUUCCAAACUUACCCUUAUUAAAUAUAUUAACUUUCAUGUUUUCUCCAAUUUAUCCUUUAAUUUUCUUACAAUUUUCUUACUACCUUGUUAAAAAUUAAUUUAAAAGUGAUAUAUCAUAUAUUGAUGAAGAACCACGCGUGUGGUGAAAAAUUCAAAUUCACGUGGAAACAAACAUGUAUGAACAUGCCUUGGUCUUGGAUGUUUGUUGAUGUUGAAUUCGUUGGAAUGAUGUAGGUGUUCCAAGAAUUGUUUUUACCCUCUCAUCCAUUUUCGACACUUGGAACUAAUUUUUAGGUUGUUGCCUGCUUUUUUUUUUUAAUAAAUUUUUUUUUUGUUAAAAGACUAAUCCUACGGCAAUUGGAUUGAUUGUAAGUUUGAUUUUGAUUUUUAUUUUUAAAAUUGACGUUUUUUUCUUAUUUAAUUUUUAAUAAGAUGAUAAGAAAGUUGUUAAAAAAAAAAAUUAUGGAUAAAUUGAAAGAAUCAUAAAAGUCAAUACAUUUAAUAAGGGUAAAUUAGGAAAACAAAAGCUAGCUUGUCUCAAGUAUUAAUGACAUUAUUUUAAGUGUAAGUAAAGUGACACAUGUCAUUAGGAAAAGGGAGAAGGUCAAAAGAGAAGGUUUGAGAGAAGGUUGCUAGCAUUCCCCUUUUUGGAGGACCUUUCCUAUUGAAAAUGGCGAUAGCAUAUUAAACUCACACACACAACACAGAUUCUAGGACUCGAACCUAGGACCUUGCCUGAGGGAGUAAAUACUCCAAACCACUAUACUAGUGGGUCCUUUGCAUUCCCCUUACAACAUAACAAAGAGGCUUCGAACUUUCUAUAAAUUACAAAAUUGCCAUCAAUUUUCUUAAAAGAAGCCCAACCCCAAAACUCACCAAAAAAAAUCCCAAAACACUCAAAACAAG